GGAUUCAUACGGGAGGCAGCAGUGGGGAAUAUUGGACAAUGGGGGCAACCCUGAUCCAGCAAUGCCGCGUGUGUGAAGAAGGCCUGCGGGUCGUAAAGCACUUUCGGUGGGGACAAAAAGUGGCGGGAUAACACCCUGCUAUCUUGAUUUAACCCAUAGAAGAAGCACCGGCUAACUCUGUGCCAGCAGCCGCGGUAAUACAGAGGGUGCAAGCGUUAAUAGGAAUUACUGGGCGUAAAGCGCACGUAGGCGGCGUGAUAAGUUGGAUGUGAAAUCCCCGGGCUUAACUUGGGAAUUGCAUUCAAGACUGUCGCGCUAGAGUAUGGGAGAGAGAAGUGGAAUUCCAGGUGUAGCGGUGAAAUGCGUAGAUAUCUGGAGGAACGUCAGUGGCGAAGGCGGCUACUUGGCGCCAAUACUGACGACUGAGUUGUGAAAGACGUGGAGAUCAGACAGGAUGACAUACCACUGGAAGUGCAC
rnacentral:rRNA from 1 species